rnacentral:rRNA from 1 species
CCUACGGGAGGCAGCAGUGGGGAAUAUUGGACAAUGGGCGAAAGCCUGAUCCAGCAAUGCCGCGUGAGUGAUGAAGGCCUUAGGGUUGUAAAGCUCUUUUACCAGGGAUGAUAAUGACAGUACCUGGAGAAUAAGCUCCGGCUAACUCCGUGCCAGCAGCCGCGGUAAUACGGAGGGAGCUAGCGUUAUUCGGAAUUACUGGGCGUAAAGCGUACGUAGGCGGUUAUUCAAGUCAGAGGUGAAAGCCCGGGGCUCAACCCCGGAACUGCCUUUGAAACUAGAUAACUAGAGUCUUGGAGAGGUUAGUGGAAUUCCGAGUGUAGAGGUGAAAUUCGUAGAUAUUCGGAAGAACACCAGUGGCGAAGGCGACUAACUGGACAAGUACUGACGCUGAGGUACGAAAGCGUGGGGAGCAAACAGGAUUAGAUACCCUGGUAGUCCACGCCGUAAACGAUGAUAACUAGCUGUCCGGGCACUUGGUGCCUGGGUGGCGCAGCUAACGCAUUAAGUUAUCCGCCUGGGGAGUACGGUCGCAAGAUUAAAACUCAAAGGAAUUGACGG